rnacentral:tRNA from 1 species
GCUUGCGGCGGUACGGCUCCUGCAGGCGGUCGUCGUUGGCGGCGGCGAUAAGCUCGGUGUCGCCGGUUUCGAGCCCCCGCGUGAGCCCC